rnacentral:hammerhead_ribozyme from 1 species
AUACUGCUGAGGAGUCCCACAAUAGGACGAAAUGGCUCCCAGUAU